UACGUAGGGUGCAAGCGUUGUCCGGAAUUAUUGGGCGUAAAGAGCUCGUAGGCGGUUUCGUAAGUCGGGUGUGAAAACUCUAGGCUCAACCUAGAGACGCCACCCGAUACUGCGAUGACUAGAGUCCGGUAGGGGAGUGUGGAAUUCCUGGUGUAGCGGUGAAAUGCGCAGAUAUCAGGAGGAACACCAACGGCGAAGGCAGCACUCUGGGCCGGAACUGACGCUGAGGAGCGAAAGCGUGGGUAGCGAACAGG
rnacentral:rRNA from 1 species